GACGAACGCUGGCGGCGUGCUUAACACAUGCAAGUCGAACGGAAAGGCCCUGCUUUUGUGGGGUGCUCGAGUGGCGAACGGGUGCGUAACACGUGAGUAACCUGCCCUUGACUUUGGGAUAACUUCAGGAAACUGGGGCUAAUACCGGAUAGGAGCUCCUGCUGCAUGGUGGGGGUUGGAAAGUUUCGGCGGUUGGGGAUGGACUCGCGGCUUAUCAGCUUGUUGGUGGGGUAGUGGCUUACCAAGGCUUUGACGGGUAGCCGGCCUGAGAGGGUGACCGGCCACAUUGGGACUGAGAUACGGCCCAGACUCCUACGGGAGGCAGCAGUGGGGAAUAUUGCACAAUGGGCGGAAGCCUGAUGCAGCAACGCCGCGUGCGGGAUGACGGCCUUCGGGUUGUAAACCGCUUUCGCCUGUGACGAAGCGUGAGUGACGGUAAUGUGUAAAGAAGCACCGGCUAACUACGUG
rnacentral:rRNA from 1 species